ACCACCACCUGUUCCACCACAAGAAGGACGGGGAGGAGGAGAGCUCCGGCGUGGUGGACUACGACAAGGAGAAGAAGCACCACAAGCACCUCGAGCAGCUCGGCGGCCUCGGCGCCAUCGCCGCCGGCGCCUACGCUCUCCACGAGAAGCACCAGGCGAAGAAGGACACGGAGAACGCGCACGGGCACAAGGUGAAGGAGGAGGUGGCGGCGGUGGCCGCG
rnacentral:misc_RNA from 1 species